UUUCAGGAGAAUUCUCCUUAAAUGCCCUUUGUGAAAGUCCCCAGCUUCAACAAAUGCGGCCUCGUGAUAUGCUGUUUCCAGUUUGUUCAAGGUCCUGUGUAAUUCUUUAGAGUACCAGUGUGGUGUCGGCUUGUGGGGGAUGUAGACAGCCGUGAUUCAAACAUCUGUGAAUUCUCUCCGGAGAUAAUGGGGUAGGCAUUUGAUCGUGAGGAAUUCCAGGGUCAGAAACUCUUAUGGGUUUGUACAUUCCUACAACCACACCAUAAGUUGUUGAUCAUGAAACAUACUCCUUCGCCUUUGUAUUUUACGCAAAGUAAAUUGWCCCUGAUGUGCGGAAAAUCCUGCAGGCUGAAUAGCCUGAUCAGGCACCUCCCCUGACAUCCAUGUCUCUGUAAGGCAGAUUACGUUACAGCCUCUCCUAUCUCUCUGGUAGGAAAUCCGCGCUCUGAGCACAGAAAGUUUAUUGUCCAGAGACUGUACAUUAGCAAGUAAUAUACUAUGAAGAGGAGAGUGGUUACCCGUUUCCUUCACUGGACUGGUACCCCAGCUCGUCUUUCCCUUCUCCAGUGGCAUCUUUUUGGAAAAAGGGCUCACGUGAUGAAUGGAACUGCUUCGGGUAACCCAGACAAAGGAUCCAGCUCCGGAAAGUCAAAUUUGUGGGCUGAACCCUUCUGGAUGGUCGGCCACUUUGUCGGUUAUUGAUUACAGCGCUGACGGGACCGUUGCCGAGCGGGUGCGGGGAGCCGACGUGAUUGGAGGGGAAAAAGAACAGACGAGAAAAAGCUGCAUUGUCAUGGGAGAGGGUUGUUAGGAACAGCAAACAAGGCCUGGCUACACUACGAUACCAGCCCUGCUUACAUUGUCAACGUGGGGUAUGAAGAGAUGUUCAGUAGAGCAGUUUGGGACAUGGAGCUGUCCCAGUGUGGUCCAAGUCCCAGUAAUGUCUUUGCUGAUUCAAGGGAGUGACUUCAACCAGAGACGAGUACUGAGGAGAACAAGGUUCGCUUCAGAGCCAGAGUGAGAUGCUAACCGCGGGGGUAUGGCGCGAUUUUAGGCCCUGUUACCUCCUCACCUAGCCUAACCUAGCGUCCCUGUUGCCUACACAUCUUACCACUCCUGAUUGACAAUGGUCACAGAGUGGGACUUGACAGAGAGAAGCCAUUAAGAAAGGGUUCAGAAAGGGUCUCAUUCAACCAGCACCGUUGGACUUCUGAACUCAACAAAGACCGUGUGUGUCUAUGAUGUUUCAACGCUUUUAUGUCGUCAAACUAGGUAGGCCUAUGUCACAAAGAAACACACAAAGACGCACGCACGCACGCACACACACACUUGUCUUCUAUAUAUUAAGGAUUGAUUGUUUUCUAUAUUAUGGGUAUGUGAGACAAGGGAGCCGUACCUGUCCAUAGUUGUUUAUUAGGAAAGGGAAUUGUACUAAUUGUCUCAUGAAUCAAACAACAAUUGUGUCUGUCAUAGUCUGUUGCCACUACUAUUACCGCUUAACCUUGUUGCAUUCCCCCUUCCUUCUUCCCUCUUCAAAAGGACCACAAUGGAAAUAAGCUUUCAAGCUGUAUUGUGUUAUCCUUGAUGAUUUUCUUAAAUUGUAUGUGGAGGCGUCACCGGCUGGAACGCCCUUAUGUAUGUAUUUAAAACAUUUUUUAAUAAAGUCAAUCAAUCACUUACUCACACACACACUUCACACACACUUAC